rnacentral:rRNA from 1 species
CCUACGGGAGGCAGCAGUGAGGAAUAUUGGUCAAUGGACGGAAGUCUGAACCAGCCAUGCCGCGUGCAGGAAGACGGCUCUAUGAGUUGUAGACUGCUUUUGUACGGGUAAACCUGAAUACGUGUAUUCACCUGUAAGUACUGUACGAAUAAGGAUCUGCUAACUCUGUGCCAGCAGCCGCGGUAAUACGGAGGAUCCAAGCGUUAUCCGGAUUUUUUUGGUUUAAAGGGUGCGUGGGCGGAUUGAUUAGUUAGAGGUGAAAUGUCCGAGCUUAACUCGGGAACUGCCGCUCAUACUGGUGAUCUAGAGAGGGGAUGCGGUAGGCGGAAUGUAUGGUGUAGCGGUGAAAUGCUUAGAGAUCGUACAGAACACCGAUUGCGAAGGCAGCUUACCAAUCUAAAUCUGACGUUGAGGCACGAAAGCGUGGGGAGCGAACAGGAUUAGAUACCCGAGUAGUC